rnacentral:rRNA from 1 species
CCUACGGGGGGCAGCAGUGAGGAAUAUUGGUCAAUGGACGAGAGUCUGAACCAGCCAAGUAGCGUGAAGGAUGACUGCCCUAUGGGUUGUAAACUUCUUUUAUAAAGGAAUAAAACGAGGCACGUGUGCCGUUUUGCAUGUACUUUAUGAAUAAGGAUCGGCUAACUCCGUGCCAGCAGCCGCGGUAAUACGGAGGAUCCGAGCGUUAUCCGGAUUUAUUGGGUUUAAAGGGAGCGUAGAUGGGUUGUUAAGUCAGUUGUGAAAGUUUGCGGCUCAACCGUAAAAUUGCAAUUGAUACUGGCAGUCUUGAGUACAGUUGAGGUAGGCGGAAUUCGUGGUGUAGCGGUGAAAUGCUUAGAUAUCACGAAGAACCCCGAUUGCGAAGGCAGCUUACUAAACUGUGACUGACAUUGAUGCUCGAAAGUGUGGGUAUCAAACAGGAUUAGAUACCCUUGUAGUC